GGGUGGCAUGCCGGGCGGGCCCUUCAAAGUGUACCCGAAAUAGAUCAUUCAGUGGCCCGGACCUUUGGGGCUGGGCCCCGACGCUAACCUUUCCAGCCAACUGGUGAUGGUGGCGAGGUGGCCGCUUGCGCCGGCAAAAUCCUCCGGCAGAACCCUCCCCGCCUCUACACGACCGUCCAUCAAAAUGGCCGCGAUGGUCACGAAGACGAUGACCAAAACAAAGCUGGUUCGCAACAAACCCAUCUUCUUCGUUAUAUAUGUAUUGAAGCGAAACUGUGAAAAGUGAAGACGAUGAACGGAGGUGUUUUCUUUGUCCUCUGAGGGUGUCAGGAGAGUUUCUUCUUCUGAUGUGAUUUUGGUUAAUUUUGUGGGUUGGGAAGAGAGAGA